rnacentral:misc_RNA from 1 species
AAGUCGUAACAAGGUCUCCGUUGGUGAACCAGCGGAGGGAUCAUUAAAAGAACAGACCGCCUAGUCGUGGCUCUGCCAACCCCUGUGAACCUCAUACCUAUCGACGUUGCCUCGGCGCGCGAGCGCGGGUACUGCGAUUCGCAAUUCGCAAUUCGCGGUGCCCGCGCCCACCGCCGGCAGCCGAACCAAAAACGCUCCAGACAAAGCUCGGCGCUCUCUCUGAACAGAAAACUUUUUAACGAGUAAAAACUUUUGGCAACGGAUCUCUUGGCUCUG